GCUCGUGACCCCAGCGAGUGCUGCAGGCAGGAGCAGGCUAUAAAUCCUGCUGCUCUGCACCCCCGGCUCCGGGAGGGGAUGGUGCAGAGCAAGAGGGGCAGCUUGGAGAGGAUUUUUGUGCUUACUGAGGCAGGUGCAGAGUAAGCUGGCUUUCAUCACGGAGCCUGCCUGCCCUCCCGGAGGUGCUGGGCGUCCUCCACUCCCGCUGACUUCAGCCUCCAGGAAUGUGCAGCGGGCCCUGCCUUCUGCCGGCUCCGGGAAACCUUACCUUGGAUUGCUGGAAAAUGGAGUCCCGUGGGCUCACGGCGUGUGUGAAGGUGUGUGCGUGUGGCUCUGUGCACCCUCAUGCCUUGUGAAUCCAGCUCGGUGCAGUGUUAAAGCAUCCGGAGUUUUAAAUAACCCGUGACUUUGGCGUUUUUGUGGGAACAGCAGGCUGAGCACAAAAGCGAGCCGUGUCAGCCCCUCGUGGGGGCAGGUGAUGCAGCAUGACAUCACUCUCAGCUUAAUUAGGCUCAGGACUCCCGAGGAGCUGUGAGGUGUCUGCAUCAGAGGCUCAGCCCGUGCUGCUGUGGGCACGGGGCUGCUGCUCCCUGCAGCGCUGCCGGCCCCAGCCCCAGCCUUCAGCCCUCUUUGGAACAAUUCCUCUUUGGAAUUUGGGCACGAGAGGGAUGUUUGGGAACGCCGGCGGUGGGGGUUGCUGACCCAGGGCUGACAGUGAGCAACCAGCCUCUGAUUGCUGAUGCUGCAGGAGCUCAGAGAAGAAGAAGAGCUCUGGGGGAGCCGGGCUGUACCACCCACCUCCCUCUGCAGCAGCCAAGCCGUCCCUUGGCUGUGGGAGCCAGGCUGUGCUCUGACUGGGAGGGAAGAGAACUCCUGCUUCAGCUCCUCGGAUUUUCACAGGAUCUGUGCCUGCCCCUGUGUUUCACAGCAGGAACCACCCACCUGGCCGGUGCUUCAAGCUGUCUGUGUAAGUCCUGGCAGAGGAUGAUGAUGGCCAGGAAUGCCAAAAACGCUUGGUGUGGGUCAGGCUGCUUCCCCUGGAGACAAACUAGUGUCUCCUGCUCUGAACAUCAGAGCUGACACCUGAGCCAAUCCUGCAAUGAUUUCCAUGGUUUGGAAAUAGUUGUGCUGUAGUUAGGGCCAUCAGUGCCAGGGCUGCUUGUGCAGUGCCACCCACUGCAGCUCUGUGUGCUGCUCUUUUGUGCCUCUUUCCUGCAGAUGACACUCAACAGAUCCAGUACAUCUCUGUAGGAGCAGGAACACUGACCAGGCUGAUUUGGGGGGCCUGCAUUAGGUACCUCUGAGGGCCCUCCCACCCUGGGGAUCCCAAACCAAACCCUGAACAUGGCACAGCCAGCCCUGAGCACUGCAUGACCCGUCAGGUCUGGCUGGGGCAGCUCAUAUUUUAAAACUUCUACACCCUUUUAAAACUGUUCAUUUAAAAAAAUGUAUUAUUUAAUGUCAGAUAAAAGAUUACAGAUGUUCUGAGCUGCUGGCAGAUAUCAAUUGGAGACAGCUGGAAGCAGACCUCUGUCUUGGCUCAUGUGGACAGUUUGUAAAAGAGUGCCAGCUGAGGCUGUCUCAGUGCUGCUGAAUAGGAAACUCCCGAGCAGUUGUUA